rnacentral:rRNA from 1 species
UAACACGUAGCUAACCUACCCUCGAGCGGGGGAGUAACCUGGGGAAACUCGGGCUAAUACCGCAUAAGAUCCCGGUGACGCGAGUCACUGGAAGCAAAGGUCCCGCAAGGGUCACUUGAGGAGGGGGCUGCGGCCGAUUAGCUAGUUGGUGAGGUAAUGGCCCACCAAGGCGACGAUGGGUAGCUGGUCUGAGAGGACGACCAGCCACACUGGGACUGAGACACGGCCCAG